rnacentral:misc_RNA from 1 species
AUAAAUAUGGAUUUUGAUUUAGUUGUAACUGGUUCUUUAGGGUGAGGGUUUUGUUUAAGCUGCAUGUUUUCUAUGUCAUUCUUUUUUUUUCUAUGUAUGUGUUUUGCAGGUGCGUUGGGAGGAACAAAGGCAUCAUUGGCCCAAGAUUCGGUUUUGAUUGCGAGAGGCAGGGAAACCUUACUAAGAAUGGUGUCUCGUUGAGAACCUGAGAUGGCCCGGAAGGCAUGAGUGACUCUUGAAAGAGCUCUACCACCUUUUCCUCGGCUAUUCUCUAUGAUGUCCUGUUGUUUUGUUGUUCU